rnacentral:lncRNA from 1 species
GGGCUAGGGUUUAAUUUGGGCCUGGGAUUGGGUUUGAUGUAAUAGGUUUGAUUUUUGGGUUGUGUAAAUGGACCUUUCUUGGACUUUUAAUUUAUUUUUAUUUCUUUUAUUUUAUUUGUAUUUGUUGAAUUGGGCCCGAGCAAAUUGGGCCUAUUACAGCUGCCCCUCUUUGCUCGUUAUCGUGUAACGGGAAUGGAACGAAGACUAAAAAGG